rnacentral:tRNA from 2 species
GCCAACUUAGCUCAGCUGGUAGAGCAGCUGAUUCGUAAUCAGCAGGUCGUCAGUUCAAAUCUGACAGUUGGCUCCA